UUGCGCCCGAGGCCAUCAGGCUAAGGGCACGCCUGCCUGGGCGUCGUAUGUUUUAUCUCUCCUUCCAAUGCUUGUCCAGCAUAUAGCUAGGCCAUCAUUGUGUGGAUGUGAAAGAUUGGCCCCUUGUGCUUAGGUGCGGUGGGUCUAAGGAUAUGUGUUUUGAUGGUCUG
rnacentral:rRNA from 1 species